GGGAGGUGCUGGUAGGGGGGUGUUAUAACCUUCAGGGCACAACCAUCAUGAUUCAAGAUAGCGUCUCCAUGCCUGAAAGACCUGGUACAGCUUAUGCAAAAACACUUCAUCCUGCACAGUGUUUAGUUGAGAAACGCUUGAACGGGUGUGGUGGCUCACGCCUGUAAUCACAGCCCUUUGGGAGGCCAAGGCAGGUGGAUCACCCGAGGUCGAGAAUUCAAGACCAGCCUGACCGACAUGAAGAAACCCCAUCUCUACUAAAAACACAAAAUUAGCUGGGUAUGUUGGUGCAUGCCUGUAAUUCCAGCCACUCAGGAGGCUGAGGCAGGAGAAUCGCUUGAACCCAGGAGGCAGAAGUUGCGGUGAGCCGAGAUCGCGCCAUUACGCUCCAGCCUGGGCAACAAGAGCGAAACUCUAUCUCAAGAAAUAAAUAAAUAAGUAAAUAAAAGAAACGCUUACCCAUAAUGAUCCUGUUGUAUUAGGUACCAGAGUGGUUCUCUAGAACAGUCAUGAAGUACUUUGAGAAUGAGCUUCUAAUGCACUGAAGUUUUGUUUUGUUUCGUUUUUUCCUGUUGUAGACUUUCUGUACCUAAAUCUUCUGUGUUUUUAAGUGAUUUCUAAUUUGAUGUACAAUCUAGCUGAUCACAACACCCAGGUUAUUUGAUAAGCCUCCCUCAAAAAUCACAGCCCUCUUUUCUGCCAAGAUAUAGAACCUCCAAUUUGCCCCCUGGUGACCUUGAC
rnacentral:lncRNA from 1 species